GGAUUAUCUCUAUUGGGAUCAGAGACUAUAAGGGGCUGUUCUCUUCGUAUUUCAGUCGAAGGAAGCAAUACAUACAUUACCCGCUUGUGCUUUCCAUUCACAAUCUAAUUUCAUUGAGAAAAAGAUAAAUUCUGACCAAACAGAAACUACACAAAUUACCAACUAAUAGCAGUGAUAGUAGCCUUACACUAAUAUGAGUUACUAUCAAACCAUUACAUGGAAGGUCAGGUAGAGGCCUUAAUAUUACCAAAAGAAACUUUAAAAAGAAGCAGAAUUUUAAACAAGUUAUGCCAAAUCACAGCAUGGCAUUCCAAAAUCACAUUAAUCCAAGUAUCAGCAAGUUGUCGAGGCAUGAAUUGCCCAAGGAAUGCUUUACUCUUGUAAUACAGGGUCUAGACCAGAAUCCCAAGUAGCUGUGGCAACCAUUCUUCAAAAUAUUUGAUUUCUACAUCUGGUUCCAGAUUCAUGAACAUGGAUCUUGAUACAUUGCUUCUUUGAGACGCUGUUGUAAAAUAAAAUUGAAAUUGAAAUCCACAAAAGAGAAUAGGGCAGCCAAUUUUGACCUGAUUGAGAACAAAAUUAGUAUUAAUUCAAAAUAGCAAAAUUAUAACACUAAUGUUACAAUAAUUCUCGUGUCUGCAGCAAUUCAUGUUCAUAAGUAAAUGAAAAUAUGCAAUGUUUGGCUACAUGAAAAGGGAAAAUCAACUAACUUUCCCAUAUUGUAACAUACCAGCGAUGGUUUUGAUAGAAGUUAUCAAGCUGAUAAUACACAUAAAUGGGAUGCUUCAUCUUCUUUGGAACCUGGAGAGAUGCUCAAAAGUUGUACAAUGAAAUCAAAAUAAUAAAGGAGAAAAGUGAAAGUGCUCAUGUAUUAAUACAAAAAGUUUCAAGGGAUUAAAUUGACAACUAAAUUCCUGAUAUAGGUUUUAUUUGUUUUUGCAUUCUGGAUGAAUGAAAGCCUCUCACGCUUUGCUGCCUUGUCGUCUCCAUUUGAAGGAAUACAAGUGUCAUCAUAUCGGUUGACAAUUUCCACUACCUAAAUGUAAGAAAAAUGAGAAACUUUUCUAAUACUAACCACUGAGGCUGAGAAGAGACUGCAACAAGAUAUGCUAGAAUAUUACAUGCUCUGAUGCAGACAAGGAACAAAGUGUUUUUUAGAACUUCUUGAGAAGCUCAACUUUAGGUAGCAAAAAUGCACUAAAAUGGCGUCAAACGUAUGGAUUAAUGUUCGUAUCCCACUUUAAUUCAUAUCAAUACAUUGAAUCUCAAAGACUAACAACAUCAUCCACAAAGUAAGCUCUUUUUAGAACAAUUGAAAAAUAAAACAAAAAGAAAUAUUGCAAGAAAUCAAACACUCAAGUCAUUCAAGACAACGUAGAUAAAAGAAACUCAAUAUUUGCUAAACCGAAUAUCAUACCUAGAUAAACCCUCUUUCCCAACCCAAAUGGAAGAUAUCAAAGUGAUUUCCUAAGAAAUCAACAGAAAUUUCUCAAAUCUCUCGGGUUCAAAACUUUUCGGAUUCUCCUAAUAGUUCUGAUCUCUUCCAAUAGUCCAAAUGUUCACAAUCACAUUGGAGUUGAGCGGUAUCCGAUAUACUCCACAUUCCUCUAGGCAUGCUCUUGGAAUUAUAGAAACAGGAGGGUGUAACCAUAAGGUUUAUUCAAUAACCAACUUGAUGUAUUUUAGCAUGUGAAUGUACGUCUCAUUAAUUUUUUCUUUCCAUUGAACGCUUACCUUAUUUCAUUUUGUAUUUUUGCCAUUACAUGCGUGUUUUUCAUUAGCUCUACCGCGGCCCAAUUAAGUGUUGACAUCGAAGAUUUCGUUCCAGCUUAAUAAAUAUGUCUUGCAACAUUGCAAUAUUUAGUAUUCAGAACAAAAUGUGGUAAGGGAAAAGAAAGCAUGCUUAACUAUAUAAUUAUAAGUCUAAAAAAUGACUGCUUUGAGAUUAUCAUCGGAAAUUUGAAAGUUAAAUUACCACUUUCCUUGAAUCUGAGAACAAUAACCACCAAAUCUUAACAGCCAAACUCCCCAUUUGCUUUAUUUGUUGCUAUCAAAUUGUUUCUAUGCUCAUCAAUAAUGGUGUCAAGAAUAACAUCAAGCUUACGCUGUAACUUCAACAACUUAAAAUCAUUACAACUGAUUAAAUUCAACACUUUCAUCAAGGGAAAUAAAUAAGCUAAAUCAAAAUGUCCUGCCAAAGCCAGUAGCUUUCUUUAUAAACCUUGUUGACAUCUCCCUAUCUCUACACACUUUACCAAACGCAGUUCUACAUGUUAUAAUACUUGUACACAAGAAAAAAAAAUUCUCUAUUAAAUCAAAUGGUGAUUCAGAAGUUGAUCGAAUCGAUUCAACUCGCCACAUGGUAAAUCCUUCUUGAUUGAGGCAAAUGAUCGAACAUUUUUCAGGCUUAACAUUUCCAAUAUAAAUUUCCUCGUUUGCUUUCAAAACAAACAAAAAAUAAAUAAAUUAAAUACAUAUUUUACCUUCAGCACAACUGAUGCGUGGAUAGAUGUAAGAUCAGGGUUUCUCUCCUUUGGCUUAAAAAUGGGUAUUCUGAAAUAGGAAUCUGGAAGGUUUUGAUCUUGCUUGAAUUUUCGGACUCCGAGGUUCGGUUGGUGUCAAUACCAGAAGGAUUGGGACUGGGUACAUCUAUAAUUUCUGGGAUGGUAGAGGAAGAUGAUAUACAAUUUUGAGGAAUGAGAGAAAAAAUAAUUCGAGGAGAGAUUGAAGAAGAGGAAGAAGAAAGAGAAGGAAGGGGCCAAGAUUUCAUUUUGGUUGAGGGAAAUGAAAGAAGAGGUGUUUCCCGUGUUUUGGAUUUGAAGCGUGUUUUUGUCCCAAAACACUCAAACCAUCUUCUUUUUUGGUUUUCAAAAAUUCUUUU
rnacentral:lncRNA from 1 species